AUUGAACGCUGGCGGCAGGCCUAACACAUGCAAGUCGAGCGGCAGCGGGAAGUAGCUUGCUACUUUGCCGGCGAGCGGCGGACGGGUGAGUAAUGUCUGGGAAACUGCCCGAUGGAGGGGGAUAACUACUGGAAACGGUAGCUAAUACCGCAUAACGUCGCAAGACCAAAGAGGGGGACCUUCGGGCCUCUUGUCAUCGGAUGUGCCCAGAUGGGAUUAGCUAGUAGGUGGGGUAACGGCUCACCUAGGCGACGAUCCCUAGCUGGUCUGAGGGGAUGACCAGCCACACUGGAACUGAGACACGGUCCAGACUCCUACGGGAGGCAGCAGUGGGGAAUAUUGCACAAUGGGCGCAAGCCUGAUGCAGCCAUGCCGCGUGUAUGAAGAAGGCCUUCGGGUUGUAAAGUACUUUCAGCGGGGAGGAAGGUGUUGAGGUUAAUAACCUCAGCAAUUGACGUUACCCGCAGAAGAAGCACCGGCUAACUCCGUGCCAGCAGCCGCCGUAA
rnacentral:rRNA from 1 species